GAUGAACGCUGGCGGCGUGCCUAAUACAUGCAAGUCGAGCGAACCACUUCGGUGGUGAGCGGCGAACGGGUGAGUAACACGUAGGUGAUCUGCCCAUCAGACGGGGACAACGAUUGGAAACGAUCGCUAAUACCGGAUAGGACGAAAGUUUAAAGGUGCUUCUGGCACCGCUGAUGGAUGAGCCUGCGGCGCAUUAGCUAGUUGGUAGGGUAAAGGCCUACCAAGGCGACGAUGCGUAGCCGACCUGAGAGGGUGAACGGCCACACUGGGACUGAGACACGGCCCAGACUCCUACGGGAGGCAGCAGUAGGGAAUCUUCCGCAAUGGGCGAAAGCCUGACGGAGCAAUGCCGCGUGAGUGAAGAAGGCCAUCGGGUCGUAAAACUCUGUUAUAAGAGAAGAACAAAUUGUAGAGUAACUGCUACAGUCUUGACGGUAUCUUAUCAGAAAGCCACGGCUAACUACGUGCCAGCCGCCGCGGUAA
rnacentral:rRNA from 1 species